UAUUCUAAAAAAAAAAAAAAAGAAAGAAAGAGAGACUACGUAGAAUAUCGUUGAAGAGGAUUUUAUUUCACUCUCCAAAGUAAUAAUUGUUGUUACAGAUUCAUUAUUUCAAUAUUUUGUCUCCCGUUAAAAAAUGAGGACAAUUAUUUUAAUGAAUAAAUUGCUUUCCUCUACUUAAGCAUGUUUUCCUUUUCUCAUGAAAAAAAAAAUUGACAAACUUUUCUUGAUUACUCGAUAAUUAUUCCACGCAGGAGUAAAAAUGUAUAUAAAAUUGAUAUUGCAUUUAGAAACACGAAUUAACGACAAAAGAGGCAAAAUUAACUAAAAUAAUAAUCUUUCUUGGAUAAACAACGAUUUUCUUGACACGAUUGCAUGUAGAAUUUAUCUUUGAUUGCUUCCAACUGUUUUAUUAAAAACUCGUGCAAAUAAUAAAUUCUCGAUUGCAGUACAAAGUCUGAUUAACGUGAUAUUUUCAUUUCCUUUUUUUCUCCUCCCUAUUUUCAAUCUUCUUCCAUCCUUUUUUUUCUUCAUUGUUGUUCAUUCAACAUUUUGAACAAGAUUCGUUCAACAACUAUUUGCAUACUUCUUUCUUGGGUAAUUGAAGAAUUUUUGGCGUUCCUUCUCGUUAAGACCACUCGUUGAACACUCGUGGUCGACCUUCGCGCCACUGACGAGAUAACAGAAAUUUAUGCAGAUAAGUGAAUGAAUUUUGCAUGCGCGCCACGUGAUCUUUGUACGUGCAUCAUGUAGCGAGGUUUUUGCAUAAGUUGUCCGCCUGAUACCGAGGGUUUCGCUAAAUUUUAACACCGAACGAGUGUGAUACCGUGCAUUCCAAAGAAUUCGUUGAAUUUUCUUCUUUUAUAAGGGAUUCCAGCCAUCUCGAUAAAGGAAAAUAUGACAAUGGUAAGUUAUGAAGAAUUUCAAACAGAUAUAAUGUUAGCAAGAGAGGAAUGAAGGAAGCUUGGAGCCAAUAAAUUUGAAUU